rnacentral:rRNA from 1 species
UACGGGGGGGGCAAGCGUUGUUCGGAAUUACUGGGCGUAAAGGGCUCGUAGGUGGCCAACUAAGUCGGACGUGAAAUCCCUCGGCUUAACCGGGGAACUGCGUCCGAUACUGGUUGGCUUGAGUUUGGGAGAGGGAUGCGGAAUUCCAGGUGUAACGGUGAAAUGCGCAGAUAUCAGGAAGAACACCCGUGGCUAAGGCGGUUCUCUAGUACGGUACUGACGCUGAGACGCGAAAGCGUGGGGAGCGAACAGG